rnacentral:lncRNA from 1 species
GGUUUUUUGAGACAGGGUUUUUUUUUUUUAGAAACCCUGUCUCAAAAAACAAAACAAAACAAAAAAGCAUGCCAUCUCAAAAAAAUUUGAAAAAUGUUUUUUUUUAAAACUGAAAAACAUUCGAGGCCAGCCUGGUCUACAGAGUGAGUUCCAAGACAGCCAGGACUGUUACACAUAUAAACCAUGUCUGGAAAAACAAAACUGAAAAACAACUGGGUGCUGGUGCAAACACCUUUAAUACAGGCCCUAGGGAAGCAGAGGCAGGUUGAACUGGAGUUCAAGGACAGCCUGGUUUCAGGGGAGCCAAGAUUACAAAGAAACCUUGGUCUCAAGAAAUAAAUAAAAAUAAAAAAUAAAAACUUAAAAACAAAAACAAAACUGGGGGCUGGGCAUGGUAGCACAUGCCUUUAAUCCCAGAACAAGUAGACAGAAGCAGAUGGAUCCAGCUAAGGCUAUAGUAAGAGCCUGGCUCAAACAAACAAAAACAUGUUUAGAAGGUCGGGUAGGAAGGAAUUUAGAAACUAUCAACUAACAGAAAUGUAGAGGCAGACACAGAAAGAAUGAUAGGCAUCAACCAGCUACAGUGAAGAGAAAAUUAGUAUAAAGUCUGUAAGGUAUACAAAAUAAAAACAAAUAGCUGGUUCUGAAGAGAAGUUCCAGAGGCUAAGCAGCUGGGUGUGGUGGUACACAGCUGAAAUCCCUCCAGUAUUAGCAAACAGAGUAAGAGGACUUAAGUGCAGCCUGUGCUCCAGGAGACAGUCUCAAAAGGAAGAUCACCAGCUUAGUCACCAAAAGGGUAAAGUCACCUGGUACAAUCAACUGCAUAUCCACAAAUAAAAUAAGUUUAGAUGCAGAUCAAAUCCCAGAGUUUAGUAAGUGAUGUAUCUGAGAAACAAUGGGUCUUGACUCCAGGGAAGUUUUCUUUAGGGUAAAACAUCAAAGUAUUCUUAAAUACUAUUCUUAUUCUUAGUAAAACCAGAGAGACAGGUCUGUGGUUAAGAAGCAUUCCCUGCUCUUCCAGAGUUCUGUUCGCAGCACCUACAUCAAGCAGUUUACAAGUGCCAGUAAUUUCUGCUUCAGGAUAUCCAACACCACCCUCUUCUGGCCUUAUGGACACACACAGUACAUACAUGCAAGUAAAGUUUAAAUUCUCUUGAUAUACUGAAUUGCUGAAUACUGUUAUGAAAACAUUGUGUGCAUAUAGCAUCUAUUUUAGUAAGCUUUUUCAUUUGCUAAUCUUGACUUGCUGGCAGCUACCCUCAAAUAGCUGCCAAAUAAUUUCCUCAUCUGUAUACUAAGACAUACAAAAGUAAAAUAAAUAAACACUAUCACUAAUAACCAACAUUUAAUUCUAGGUCUUCAGAUGAAGGAAAGAAAAUUGGAAGAUCGUUAUUUAUGUCACUUGUGAUAUGACAAGAAAAAAUACUAAAACAGGCUAAGAAAAAUAUUGGCAGCAUUGUGAAAUGAAGGUAAGUCAGAAUCAUUAAGAAAAAUGUAACACAGCCCUCAGUAAGGCAGAGACAUGUAGAUCUCUGAAUCUGAGGCCAUCCUGGUCUAGAGUGAGUUCC